rnacentral:piRNA from 1 species
GAUACAGCUGUGCCUCUGAGAUG